rnacentral:misc_RNA from 1 species
UACGGAGGGUGCGAGCGUUGUUCGGAAUUACUGGGCGUAAAGGGCGCGUAGGCGGCCUGUUAAGUUCGGUGUGAAAGCCCUCGGCUCAACCGGGGAAGUGCGCCGGAAACUGGCAGGCUAGAGUACCGGAGAGGGGAGUGGAAUUCCUGGUGUAGCGGUGAAAUGCGUAGAUAUCAGGAGGAACACCGGUGGCGAAGGCGGCUCCCUGGCCGAGUACUGACGCUGAGGCGCGAAAGCGUGGGGAUCAAACAGG